AACAUCAGGGUGUGAAAAAGGAGAGUGAUUGACAGCAGCUCGGUGGCAAAGGAAAAGAAAAAACCAAAAGAAAAAAAGAAAGAAAUCACCACAAAGAUCAAAGAGCAGAUGAGAAGUCACAUGACUCCAAUAUGCAAACAUCGACGGCGGGGACAAAAAGCCAGCCUGAUAGCAAAGUGAGAACAUUUAGUUGCCUGCAGCCAGAAGCAUUGGAAUGGAAAGAACCCACUGCACACCAGCAAUAAUCAAUCAACAAUCAUCAAUCAUCAAUCAUCAAUUAUCAAUCAUCAACAGAUAUUGAGAGAAGCCUUAAACAGAUAAAAGACACCUCCCACCCCCGCUGCCCUGACCAUGGCGAUGGCGAUGGCGAUGGAGACGCAAGCAGGAAGUGGGUGUUGGAGGUGAGGGUUAGUGAUGUCACCCCAAAGAAGACAAAGAACAACAUCAAGCACACCCGUGUGUCACCUGUUGUCGUACUGCGGGAGCGGAGAGGAAAAACUGCGGGAUGGACGACAACACAACUGUGUCACAUGACGUAGUUCCGGUUUAAGGCGUAAGACUGGAAUGUUCCAGAAGGAGGAUGUGGAGGUACGUACCAAGUCCCUGCUGGGUGCCAAUAUCUCCUCGAUCAUCAUGCUGUCCCGCGUGAAGGAGCUGCGGUUGAGAGUGUUGGACCUAUCAGAACUGAAGGAACGCAGGCUUGGUGCAGGUCACGCGUUACCAUGACAACAAUG